UACGUAGGGGGCGAGCGUUGUUCGGAAUUACUGGGCGUAAAGGGCGCGUAGGCGGCCUGCUAAGUCGAACGUGAAAUCCCUGGGCUCAACCCAGGAACUGCGUCCGAUACUGGUUGGCUUGAAUCCGGGAGAGGGAUGUGGAAUUCCAGGUGUAGCGGUGAAAUGCGUAGAUAUCUGGAGGAACACCGGUGGCGAAGGCGGCAUCCUGGACCGGUAUUGACGCUGAGGCGGCGAAAGCUAGGGGAGCAAACGGG
rnacentral:rRNA from 1 species